GCUAAUCAUGAUCAACAGCAGAUAUGAGCUGAGCUAACCUAGCGACCUUUGGGUUAGGCGCUGUCUCUGUUCUGGGAAACUGGCAGCAUCAGAGGGAAGGCAUGGGGCUUCAGUAAACACUGCCUGAAAAUACCAGGAGCGACAGUGGAUUAAGUACAGACACUGGUUUGACUAAUGAACUCUGCUAAUGGAGGUUGUAAGGUUUCUGGUUCUGGUUCCUGGUGUCCGGACAGUCUGGAGUCUCAAGGAGAUCUAGUGGAUGCACUUCUAAACUCAGAGCGGGAGGAAAAUAGGGAACGCUCUUAUUCCUCCUUUGGCUAUUCGGUCGUGAGAUUGCGGCCUUUUGGAACUGGUAUGGGAUCUCAUGACCCAGCAACCGCCAUGCCUUGUCAGUUCUGUUUCAUGCCAUGCUGUCAUGUUGUCUGUUGUCAGUCUUCUCGCUGUGGUUGUGUGUAAAGUCAUUUCCACUAUGGGAAAAGCUUCUUCCAAACCUAAGGCUCCCCUGAACCUUGCCCUUUCUCUUUUCCAGGAUUGCUGCCUCUGUAGCCCGUGUUUAGCCAGAGCUUCUCAAGACCUUAUUGGUCCCCACAUGGAGCUCCUCUUCCCUCUUCCUUCCCAUCCUCUCCUUCCCAAUCCUCUGUCCCUGAGCCCAGGCACUUGCACUCAUUCAGGGAAGCCACAGGUGCUGGCAUCUCUUGCUCUUCCCCUCCACACUUUGGGACCUCCUAAUGAGGAUGGCACCCCCCCACACACACACAUACACCUGCUUUAUUUCCUCUUUCAACUAGUGAUCUGUAUUACUGGAAACUUCAGACUCCUUCCUUUACUGAGAAACCCCAAGCAAUAAUAGAUCUCCCAGUUACCGUCCUGCUUACACAUUCCCUAACCUGGGGGAGAUUGCCAGCAAUUGUCCAGAUAAUGGUCACCACUGAAGAAAGAGAUAGAAUUCAGCGAGAAUGCUGCAGCAGGUUCCAGAGAUGGUCGACCCACUAAUGAUGAGGUAUUCAUUAACGAGGUGGUCUCUGAACACCUGCUAGGCUGCCCUCCAGUCUGGCUAAGGCUCCUGCAGCCCCAGAUAUUAAGAGGAAACUUCAGCAACUCAAAGAACUUGACGGUAAAAAUCUGCCUGAGUUGAUUGCUAUAGCCACUAAGGUUUACAAGCGCAGAGAAACACCUGCGGGUAAGCAAGCUCGGGGACUGGCAAAAAUCUUACUGGCAGAUAAGAGCGGGGGACCUGAUGGGCAGAGGGAACACAGACUGUCCCAACUAGCCAACGGGCAAUGGCCACAAAGGAAGAAGGGACAAAAAGUCCUAAAAUUGGCAGGUCUAGAUGAUUGAAGGAAAUGGGGUUUAAAGCCUCUCCUUGAGCCUUGGGUAACCCUAAAAGUUGAGGGGCAACCUGCUGAUUUCCUAGUGGACACUGGUACUCACAAUUCAGCGUUAAAAACUCCACUGGGGUCUCUAUCAGACAAACAAAUGUGGUUCAAGGGGAUACAAGGACAGCCCUGCUACCAUGGACCACAAAACAGAUUGUAAAAUUGGGAAGAAAGAAAGUUACACAUCCCUGAAUGCCGUUACCCGCUCCUGGAAAGAGGCUUAUUGCCUAAGACAAAAGCCCAAAUUCAUCUCACUGGGAAGGGGGUGACGAUCUCCCCAUGGCCGGAAGUCUAUGCCUUAUGCCUAGAUCUGAAAGAAUACAGGCUCUCCUGACAUACUCUCACUCUAAUGGCUGACCUCCAGCGCUCCAUCCCAGGAGUGUGUGCAGAAACUAAUCCACCAGGACCAGCGAUUCAGGAGCCCCCAGCUGUAGUCACCUUAAAAUCCAAUACCCAGUUAGGCCAGAGUGAGGCAGUACCCUAUGACCCCAGAGGCCAAGUUGGGCAUUACUAACCAUAUCAAUUGGUUCCUGGAGCAUGAAAUCCUGGUGCCUUGCCAGUCUCCAUAGAACACCCCACUUCUGCCAGUUAAGAAGCCAGGGACCAGUGACUAUCAACCCAUGCAAGAUCUUAGGGAGAUUAACAAACAGGAUAAAGACAUUCGUGUUACAGUUCCCAACUCCUGUAAUCUCCUGAGCUCCCUCUCUCUGGAGAUCUCAGGGAUGCCUUCUUCAGCCUAACUCUUGAAGCUAAGAGUCAGCUGCUUUUCGCUUUCAAAUGGCAUGACCAAGACCAGGGCUUCAGUGGUCAGCUCACCUGGACCCGCCUGCCACAAGGAUUCAAAAAUUCCUCAACUGUCUUUGACAAAGCCCUACAAUGAGACUUGAAGGAUUAUCGGUCCUUACACCCGGAGGUUCCUCUGAGCCUCAGGCCCUUUCGGAUCCUAUUCUCUCACUCCCAGGAUUUCAGAAAUCUAACAGAAGAUUUGGCCAGCCUCCCCUGCCCCUCUCUGCCUCAGGAGCCCAGGCUUCAGCAGGCUCCUGUCUGAGCUAGCACUGCUGGUAGUCAGGGAGAGGAUAGCCCCUCCUCCACAGGUACUGCAGUCCCAGGCCCAAAUGCCAAGGAGGAGCCAGAAGGACAGAGACUUCAAGGCCAGGUGCCGAGGAUAGCCACUGUCAGAUGCUUCUCCUGGACCAUAACUGGUUUUGGUCUCACAAAAUGACACCUGCUCCAAAGUGGCACAGCGGGAAACACCAGGCAGAGCAGCUGCAGGUGCAGACCCACCAGGAAAGCACAAAUGGCCUGCAGCCCCUCCCCCACCUAAAACUUCAGCUAGAAAAGAGAGACAUCCCAGCUCCAGACAGCUCCUCUGUUUCCUCCAAAGAGGACAGAUGGGCACAGAAGAAAAAUCUACUCAAAACUGGCUCAAAAGUGGCAGCACUAGCCACUGAGAGAACCUGCCUUUCACCUCAACUACUGCAAAGACUCUCUUCAGAGGGUGGAGAAAACAGGAUACUGGGAAAUUGACAGCCUCGAGGUGUCUAAGGC